UCCAGACUCCUACGGGAGGCAGCAGUGGGGAAUAUUGCACAAUGGGGGGAACCCUGAUGCAGCGACGCCGCGUGAGUGAAGAAGUAUUUCGGUAUGUAAAGCUCUAUCAGCAGGGAAGAUAAUGACGGUACCUGACUAAGAAGCCCCGGCUAACUACGUGCCAGCAGCCGCGGUAAUACGUAGGGGGCAAGCGUUAUCCGGAUUUACUGGGUGUAAAGGGUGCGUAGGUGGCAGGGCAAGUCAGAUGUGAAAGCCCGGGGCCCAACCCCGGGACUGCAUUUGAAACUGUCCGGCUGGAGUGCAGGAGAGGUAAGCGGAAUUCCUAGUGUAGCGGUGAAAUGCGUAGAUAUUAGGAGGAACACCAGUGGCGAAGGCGGCUUACUGGACUGUAACUGACACUGAGGCACGAAAGCGUGGGGAGCAAACAGGAUUAGAUACCCGAGUAUC
rnacentral:rRNA from 1 species